AAUGAACGCUGGCGGCAUGCCUUACACAUGCAAGUCGAACGGCAGCAUGGCCUAGCUUGCUAGGUUGAUGGCGAGUGGCGAACGGGUGAGUAAUGCAUCGGAACGUGCCUUUUAGUGGGGGAUAACGUAGCGAAAGUUACGCUAAUACCGCAUAUUCUCUGAGGAGGAAAGCAGGGGACCUUCGGGCCUUGCGCUAGAAGAGCGGCCGAUGUCGGAUUAGCUAGUUGGUGAGGUAAAGGCUCACCAAGGCAACGAUCCGUAGCGGGUCUGAGAGGAUGAUCCGCCACACUGGGACUGAGACACGGCCCAGACUCCUACGGGAGGCAGCAGUGGGGAAUUUUGGACAAUGGGCGCAAGCCUGAUCCAGCCAUGCCGCGUGAGUGAAGAAGGCCUUCGGGUUGUAAAGCUCUUUCGGCUGGGAAGAAAUCGCACCCUCUAAUACAGGGUGUGGAUGACGGUACCAGCAUAAGAAGCACCGGCUAACUACGUG
rnacentral:rRNA from 1 species